rnacentral:tRNA from 1 species
GGACCGUUGGUGUAGUGGUAAAACAUUGCGUCCAGAUACGAAGAGGAGUGGUUCGAUUCCCUCCCGGUCCA